rnacentral:rRNA from 1 species
GACGAAGGUGGCAAGCGUUGCUCGGAAUUACUGGGCAUAAAGGGCGCGUAGGUGGCGCGGUCAGUCGGCGGUGAAAGCCUGUGGCUUACCCAUAGAAUUGCCGACGAUACUGCCGUGCUCGAGGUCAGGAGGGGAGAGUGGAACUCCUGGUGUAGCGGUGAAAUGCGUAGAUAUCAGGAGGAACGCCGGUGGCGAAAGCGACUCUCUGGACUGCACCUGACACUGAUGCGCGAAAGCUAGGGGAGCAAACAGG